rnacentral:rRNA from 1 species
CCUACGGGAGGCAGCAGUGGGGAAUAUUGCACAAUGGGGGAAACCCUGAUGCAGCGACGCCGCGUGAGUGAAGAAGGACUUCGGUAUGUAAAGCUCUAUCAGCAGGGAAGAAGAAAGACGGUACCUGACUACGACGACCCGGCUAACUACGUGCCAGCAGCCGCGGUAAUACGUAGGGGGCAAGCGUUAUCCGGAUUUACUGGGUGUAAAGGGAGCGUAGACGGUAGUGCAAGUCUGAAGUGAAAGCCGAGGGCUCAACCCUGGGACUGCUUUGGAAACUGUGGUGCUUGAGUGCUGGAGAGGUAAGUGGAAUGCCUGGUGUAGCGGUGAAAUGUAUAUAUAUUAGGAGGAACACCAGUGGCGAAGGCAGCUUACUGGACAGUAACUGACGUUGAGGCUCGAAAGCGUGGGGAGCAAACAGGAUUAGAUACCCUAGUAGUC